rnacentral:rRNA from 1 species
AUACGUAGGUGGCAAGCGUUGUCCGGAAUUAUUGGGCGUAAAGGGCGCGUAGGCGGCCCGGUAAGUCUGGAGUGAAAGUCCUGUUUUUAAGAUGGGAAUUGCUUUGGAUACUGUCGGGCUUGAGUGCAGGAGAGGUAAGUGGAAUUCCCAGUGUAGCGGUGAAAUGCGUAGAGAUUGGGAGGAACACCAGUGGCGAAGGCGACUUACUGGACUGUAACUGACGCUGAGGCGCGAAAGUGUGGGGAGCAAACAGGAUUAGAUACCCUGGUAGUCCACACUGUAAACGAUGAAUGCUAGGUGUAGGGGGUAUCGACCCCUUCUGUGCCGCAGUCAACACAAUAAGCAUUCCGCCUGGGGAGUACGGCCGCAAGGUUGAAACUCAAAGGAAUUGACGGGG